ncrna:unclassified sequences eL15-Euryarchaeota ribosomal protein leader
GCGGACUACCAGAGUCCGCUGGGAUGUAGCCCAAACCGGGCUGAACCGCAAA